rnacentral:lncRNA from 1 species
UCGGUUUUUCCCCUGUCCCAAGAUUAUAAAGAUGGAAUUGGCAAACGGCUGAUGCAACGCGAGACGAGCAGCAAAGAACUGGGGAAACGCGAACGUAGACGGCGUUAUCUGAGCCCUGAAGAACACUCAAACGGAGGCGUGCCCCCUUCGCAACGGGUUCCAGGUUCCACGUUCGUUCUCUUCUCGCUCUAUAACUUUAACUUUGCCGGGUUCCCCCCCACUCCUCCCCCCCGCGCCGGAAAAUCUCUCCAUGUCUUCAAGCAACCAGGCUCCCGUCUCCACAGUUUUCCGUCUUCAUCCUCCCAAAGCUUUUAAGAACCUUGCCGGAUAAGGCGUUUCCAUCUUCGGGCAACCCAACACGUUGCCGGACGCUCGACCAAGAAAUCUCUGCAUGUGAGCAGGCCUUCUCUCCGUCACCAGGACGUCACCGAACUCGUCCGUCCAAACGGGCACAUCCCUGAACCCAUAUGAUUUUGAAGGUGUUUUUAGGCCACAACACAGACAUUCACGUGGCUUCAAGCACAACUGCAAAUUACCGGGUCUCAUAGAAACUGAGCGAAAUUAGAGAUUAACCCGGUACUAAAGAGAGCACGCUCUGCAAAUGAGAUAACCAGAAAGUUAGUUUGGCUAAGGCGGGAUGAUCCAAGACCUCGACCAACCCAAGUCCGGGCUCAGAUCUGUUCUAGCUGAGAAGACCGGGCCCCAGCACGUUUAUAAGCCCCGGGCUUCAUGGAGCAAAGGCCCGUUACAUUUUUCUGGGCUCCAG